GACGAACGCUGGCGGCGUGCUUAACACAUGCAAGUCGAACGGAAAGGCCCUGCUUGCAGGGUGCUCGAGUGGCGAACGGGUGAGUAACACAUGGGUGAUCUGCCCCUUUCUUUGGGUUAAGCCUGGUAAACUGGGUCUAAUACUGGAUAGGACAUUUCUGUAGGUGGUGUGGUGGAAAGAUUAGUUUCGGUAAGGGGUGAGCUCGCGGCCGAUCCGCUUUUUGUUGGGUUAAUGGCCUACCAAGGCGUCGGAGGGUAGCCGGCCAGAAGGGGUGGUCGGCAACGUUGAGACUGAGAUACGGCGCAGACGCCGACGGGAUGCAGCAGUGGGGAAUAGUGCACAAUAGGCGCAAGCCGGAUGCAGCGACGGCGCGUGGGUGAUGACGGCCUGCGGGUUGUGAACAACUUACAGCCAUGACGAAGCCCUUGUGGUGACGGUAGUGGAAGAAGAAGCACCGGCUAACUACGUG
rnacentral:rRNA from 1 species